rnacentral:rRNA from 1 species
CCUACGGGCGGCAGCAGUGAGGAAUAUUGGUCAAUGGACGAGAGUCUGAACCAGCCAAGUAGCGUGAAGGAUGACUGCCCUAUGGGUUGUAAACUUCUUUUAUAAAGGAAUAAAACGAGGCACGUGUGCCUUUUUGCAUGUACUUUAUGAAUAAGGAUCGGCUAACUCCGUGCCAGCAGCCGCGGUAAUACGGAGGAUCCGAGCGUUGUCCGGAUUUAUUGGGUUUAAAGGGAGCGUAGAUGGGUUGUUAAGUCAGUUGUGAAAGUUUGCGGCUCAACCGUAAAAUUGCAAUUGAUACUGGCAGUCUUGAGGACAGUUGAGGUAGGCGGAAUUCGUGGUGUAGCGGUGAAAGGCUUAGAUAGCACGAAGAACCCCGAUUGCGAAGGCAGCUUACUAAACUGUGACUGACAUUGAUGCUCGAAAGUGUGGGUAUCAAACAGGAUUAGAUACCCCGGUAGUC